UAGGGAAUCUUCCACAAUGGACGCAAGUCUGAUGGAGCAACGCCGCGUGAGUGAAGCAGGUUUUCGGAUCGUAAAGCUCUGUUGUUGGUGAAGAAGGAUAGAGGCAGUAACUGGUCUUUAUUUGACGGUAAUCAACCAGAAAGUCACGGCUAACUACGUGCCAGCAGCCGCGGUAAUACGUAGGUGGCAAGCGUUGUCCGGAUUUAUUGGGCGUAAAGCGAGCGCAGGCGGAAUGAUAAGUCUGAUGUGAAAGCCCACGGCUCCACCGUAGAACUGCACCGGAAACUGACAUUCUUGAGUGCAGAAGAGGAUAAUGGAAUUCCAUGUGUAGCGGUGGAAUGCGUAGAUAUAUGGAAGAACACCAGUGGCGAAGGCGGCUCUCUGGUCUGCAACUGACGCUGAGGCUCGAAAGCAUAGGUAGCGAACAGG
rnacentral:rRNA from 1 species